ACCAAUCUCUUUGCCUUUUGGCUUAGAUCAAGUGUAGUAUCUGUUCUUUUCAGUGUAACAACUGAAAUGUCAUCCAUUGAUGACUAUUUUAAAUAAUUGUUACAUUUAUUUUUGGAAUUUAAGUCGGUUAAAUCUCUACUGUUGGGCUUGCUCAAUGGUUUAGAUUUAACCAAGGUGUCGCUGCUAUUGCACUAAAGGCUUCUGACACCGAUUUUAA
rnacentral:snRNA from 1 species